GUGGAUUCUCAAGCGUGAGGUAAGAGCAUUUGGUGGAUGCCUUGGCAUGUGCAGGCGAUGAAGGACGUGGCACGCUGCGAUAAGCGUCGGGGAGAUGUGAGCAAUCUUUGAUCCGGCGAUUUCCGAAUGGGGAAACCCACCCUCACCAUUUCCUUUCGAUUGUUUUCGGACAGUCGGAAAGAGGUGGAUAGGGUAUCACCAGACUGAAUACAUAGGUUUGGUGAAGCGAACCCGGGGAACUGAAACAUCUCAGUACCCGGAGGAAAAGACAUCAACAGAGAUUCCCGUAGUAGUGGCGAGCGAACCGGGACCAGGCCAGUGCCUUCAUUUCAACUAGCAAAACACUUUGGAAAGAGUGGCCAUAGCGGGUGACAGCCCCGUAUGCGAAAGUGAUGAUGAAGGACUCGAGUAGGGCGGGACACGUGAAAUCCUGUCUGAACAUGGGGGGACCACCCUCCAAGCCUAAAUACUCGCACAUGACCGAUAGCGAACACAGUACCGUGAGGGAAAGGUGAAAAGCACCCCGAUUAGGGGAGUGAAACAGUACCUGAAACCGGAUGCUUACAAGCAGUUGGAGCCCCAUAGGGGGUGACAGCGUACCUCUUGCAUAAUGGGUCAGUGACUUAAUCUACCAUGCAAGCUUAAGCCGUUAGGUGUAGGCGCAGCGAAAGCGAGUCUGAAUAGGGCGACUGAGUAUGAUGGAUUAGACCCGAACCCCGGCGAUCUAGGCAUGGCCAGGUUGAAGGUGCAGUAACAUGCACUGGAGGACCGAACCGGUGAAUGUUGAAAAAUUCUCGGAUGAGCUGUGUUUAGGGGUGAAAGGCCAAUCAAGCCGGGAAAUAGCUGGUUCUCCGCGAAAUCUAUUGAGGUAGAGCGUCGGAUGUAUGCCGAUGGGGGUAGAGCACUGGAUGGGCUAGGGCUGCGCGAGCGGUACCAAACCUAACCAAACUCCGAAUACCAUCGAGUCUUAUCCGGCAGACAGACGGCGGGUGCUAAGGUCCGUCGUCAAAAGGGAAACAGCCCUAACCUACAGCUAAGGUCCCCAAGUCAUAUCUAAGUGGGAAAGCAUGUGGGAAUCCCAAAACAACCAGGAGGUUGGCUUAGAAGCAGCCAUCCUUUAAAGAAAGCGUAACAGCUCACUGGUCUAAACAAGGGUUCCUGCGGCGAAGAUGUAACGGGGCUAAAGAUAUGCACCGAAGCUUAGGGUUCAGAAUUUAUUCUGAGCGGUAGCGGAGCGUUCCGUAAGCGAGUGAAGGCGAAGGGUAACCGACGCUGGACGUAUCGGAAGUGCGAAUGCUGACAUGAGUAGCGACAAACAGGGUGAGAUGCCCUGUCGCCGAAAGACCAAGGGUUCCUGCGCAACGCUAAUCGGCGCAGGGUUAGCCGGCCCCUAAGACGAGCCCGAAGGGGGUAGUCGAUGGGAACCACGUAAAUAUUCGUGGGCCUGAAGAUGUGUGACGGAUCGUGGAAGUUGUUUUCUCUUAUUGGAUUGAGAGGGCAGCCAAGCGGUUCCAGGAAAUAGCCUCUUCACUAUAGACCGUACCCGAAACCGACACAGGUGGUCAGGUAGAGUAUACCAAGGCGCUUGAGAGAAGUAUCCUGAAGGAACUCGGCAAAUUGCCUCCGUACCUUCGGAAGAAGGAGGCCCCAUAUCGACGCAAGUCUUUGUGGGGGGCACAGGCCAGGGGGUAGCGACUGUUUAGCAAAAACACAGCACUCUGCUAAGUCGGCUUCAAGACGACGUAUAGGGUGUGACGCCUGCCCGGUGCUCGAAGGUUAAGAGGAGGAGUGCAAGCUCCGAAUUGAAGCCCGAGUAAACGGCGGCCGUAACUAUAACGGUCCUAAGGUAGCGAAAUUCCUUGUCGGGUAAGUUCCGACCUGCACGAAUGGCGUAACGACUUCCCCACUGUCUCCAGGAUAUGCUCAGCGAAAUUGAAUUCUCCGUGAAGAUGCGGAGUACCCGCGGUUAGACGGAAAGACCCCGUGCACCUUUACUGCAGCUUCAGAGUGGCAUUAGGAAAUUACUGUGUAGAAUAGGUGGGAGGCUUUGAAACAUCGGCGCCAGCUGGUGUGGAGCCAACCUGUGAAAUACCACCCUGUGAUUUUCUGAUGUCUAACCACGCACCGUUAUCCGGUGUUGGGACCCUCUGUGGCGGGUAGUUUGACUGGGGCGGUCGCCUCCUAAAGAGUAACGGAGGCGCGCGAUGGUAUGCUCAGGACGGUUGGAAACCGUCUGCAAGAGUGCAAUGGCAUAAGCAUGCCUGACUGCGAGACCGACAGGUCGAGCAGAGACGAAAGUCGGUCAUAGUGAUCCGGUGGUCCCUCGUGGAAGGGCCAUCGCUCAACGGAUAAAAGGUACGCCGGGGAUAACAGGCUGAUGAUUCCCAAGAGCUCAUAUCGACGGAAUCGUUUGGCACCUCGAUGUCGGCUCAUCACAUCCUGGGGCUGGAGCAGGUCCCAAGGGUUUGGCUGUUCGCCAAUUAAAGUGGUACGUGAGCUGGGUUCAGAACGUCGCGAGACAGUUUGGUCCCUAUCUGCCGUGGGCGUCGAUUGUUGAAAGGAGUUGCCCCUAGUACGAGAGGACCGGGGUGAACAUACCUCUGGUGUACCUGUCAUCCUGCCAAGGGUGCCGCAGGGUAGCUAUGUAUGGACGGGAUAACCGCUGAAAGCAUCUAAGCGGGAAGCCUCCCUUGAGAUAAGCAAUCUUCGAACCGUCAUAGACCAUGACGUUGAUAGGCCGGGUGUGGAAGCGCAGUAAUGCGUGUAGCUAACCGGUCCUAAUAGUUCUUUUCGCGCUUG
rnacentral:rRNA from 2 species